GAUGAACGCUAGCGGCAGGCCUAACACAUGCAAGUCGAGGGGCAGCACAUAAAGUGGUUUACUACUUUUGGUGGCGACCGGCGGACGGGUGCGUAACGCGUAUGCAACCUGCCCCCAACAGGGGGAUAACGGAGAGAAAUUUCCACUAAUACCCCGUAAUAUCAGAAUCGGCAUCGGUUUUGGUUGAAAACUCCGGUGGUUGGAGAUGGGCAUGCGUUGUAUUAGAUAGUUGGUGAGGUAACGGCUCACCAAGUCAACGAUACAUAGGGGGACUGAGAGGUUAGCCCCCCACACUGGUACUGAGACACGGACCAGACUCCUACGGGAGGCAGCAGUGAGGAAUAUUGGUCAAUGGGGGCAACCCUGAACCAGCCAUGCCGCGUGCAGGAAGACGGCUCUAUGAGUUGUAAACUGCUUUUACAAGGGGAUAAAUCGGUGUACGUGUACACCGUUGAAGGUACCUUGGGAAUAAGGAUCGGCUAACUCCGUGCCAGCCGCCGCGGUAA
rnacentral:rRNA from 1 species